GACGAACGCUGGCGGCGUGCCUAAUACAUGCACGUAGAACGCAGUUGCGAACGGGUGCGUAACGCGUAGGUAACUGCCUGGUAGCGGGGGUUAACUAUUGGAAACGAUAGCUAAUAACGCAUACUACCAGAUGGACCUGCGUUGUAUUAGGUAUUUGGUUGGGUAACGGCUCACAAAGGCAACGAUACCUAGCCGACCUGAGUGGGUGAUCGGACAAACUGGGGCUGAGAAAAGGCCCAGACGCCUACGGGGAGAAGCAGUAGGGAAUGGUGGGGAAGGGACGGAAGUCUGACCGAGCAACGCCGCGUGAGUGAAGAAGGUUUUCGGAGAGGAAAGCUCUGUUGUAAGAGAAGCGGUAUCUUACCAGAAAGGGACGGCUAACUACGUGCCAGCAGCCGCGGUAAUAC
rnacentral:rRNA from 1 species